AUUGAACGCUGGCAGCAUGCUUUACACAUGCAAGUCGAACGGUAACAGGCCGCAAGGUGCUGACGAGUGGCGAACGGGUGAGUAAUGCAUCGGAACGUGCCCAGUCGUGGGGGAUAACUACUCGAAAGAGUAGCUAAUACCGCAUACGAUCUAUGGAUGAAAGCGGGGGACCGUAAGGCCUCGCGCGAUUGGAACGGCCGAUGUCAGAUUAGGUAGUUGGUGGGGUAGAGGCUCACCAAGCCAACGAUCUGUAGCUGGUCUGAGAGGACAACCAGCCACACUGGGACUGAGACACGGCCCAGACUCCUACGGGAGGCAGCAGUGGGGAAUUUUGGACAAUGGGCGCAAGCCUGAUCCAGCAAUGCCGCGUGCAGGAAGAAGGCCUUCGGGUUGUAAACUGCUUUUGUACGGAACGAAACGGCUCUGGUUAAUACCCGGGGCUAAUGACGGUACCGUAAGAAUAAGCACCGGCUAACUACGUG
rnacentral:rRNA from 1 species